CGUUCACUGCACUCUUGUGCUGCGUUCACUGUCCUCUCAUGCGGAGAAAAAAAAAACUCUUUCCGCCCAAACCGGACGUCACUUCAUCGCUUCACAAUGGUUCCUCCGGUCGCAGUGUCGCCGCUCAUCAAGACGGCCAGGUGGUCUGCCCUGCUACUCGGCGUCUUCUAUGGCAAGCAGAGGUUUGAGUACCUAAAGCCCAUUGCUGAAGAGGAGAGGAAGGUCGAGGAAGCAGAGAAAAAGGCCAGAGAGGAGCAGGAGCGCAUCUACAAACAACUGUCUGAAGCAAAUUCUGACACCAUCCUGAAAUGAACGAUCUGGACCUGAGUCGUUAAACACAAUAAAAACAUUAUUUUCCAUGUAA